rnacentral:rRNA from 1 species
GACGAACGCUGGCGGCGUGCUUAACACAUGCAAGUCGAGCGAAUGAAGUUCCUUCGGGAAUGGAUUUAGCGGCGGACGGGUGAGUAACACGUGGGCAACCUGCCUCAUAGAGGGGAAUAGCCCUCCGAAAGGGAGAUUAAUACCGCAUAAGAUUGUAGUACCGCAUGAUACAGCAAUUAAAGGAGUAAUCCGCUAUGAGAUGGGCUCGCGGCGCAUUAGCUAGUUGGUGAGGUAACGGCUCACCAAGGCGACGAUGCGUAGCCGACCUGAGAGGGUGAUCGGCCACAUUGGGACUGAGACACGGCCCAGACUCCUACGGGAGGCAGCAGUGGGGAAUAUUGCACAAUGGGGGAAACCCUGAUGCAGCAACGCCGCGUGAGUGAUGACGGCCUUCGGGUUGUAAAGCUCUGUCUUCAGGGACGAUAAUGACGGUACCUGAGGAGGAAGCCACGGCUAACUACGUGCCAGCCGCCGCAGUAAGAC